rnacentral:rRNA from 1 species
AGAGUUUGAUCCUGGCUCAGAACGAACGCUGGCGGCAUGCCUAACACAUGCAAGUCGAACGAGACCUUCGGGUCUAGUGGCGCACGGGUGAGUAACGCGUGGGAACCUGCCCAGAGGUCUGGGACAACCGCGGGAAACUGCGGCUGAUACCGGAUGAUUCCUGAGGGACAAAGAUUUAUCGCCUUUGGAGGGGCCCGCGUCGGAUUAGGUAGUUGGUGGGGUAACGGCUCACCAAGCCUAUGAUCCGUAACUGGUCUGAGAGGAUGACCAGUCACACUGGGACUGAGACACGGCCCAGACUCCUACGGGAGGCAGCAGUGGGGAGUAUUGGACAAUGGGGGCAACCCUGAUCCAGCAAUGCCGCGUGGGUGAUGAAGGCCUUCGGGUUGUAAAGCCCUUUCGGCGGGGACGAUGAUGACGGUACCCGCAGAAGAAGCCCCGGCUAACUUCGUG